GAUGACCCGGCCGCCGCCGCCGCCCUGCAACCGCUCCCCGGGACCCGUCAACGCUGACACUGAUGACCCGCGGUGGGGGCGCUGGGCGCGGGGUGCGCAGGCCACUGGCCGCGGGCUCUCGGGCCCACUCCUGCCGCCGGCUUCCGCUGCUUCCGCGUGCCGUGGACACUGCCAGAAUUUGUCAAAGGUCCUAGGAAGAAAAGGCUCUUUCACCCCUCCCCUCAAUGAACAGAUGGUGUGUUUGGACUGUUCGCAUUCGCUCCUCAUAGGUGGGAUCCUGGAGGAAGUUAAGGGGUGCUCCGUUCCCUGGGGAUGGGACAGCAGCUCGCCUUUUUACUAAUAGCUAUAAGGGACUGUCAGACAUUUACCUGACUAGACCUUCACCUCAGAGCUCAGAAGGGGAACAGCUCCAGAACUAAAAGAGAGAGCCUCUGGCAGACCCCAAAAGACAGCAUGUGGAGUGAAGCUGGGCUUCCCUGCCCAAUCACUAGGAUCAUUUAUUGCACAAAUACCUGUAUUUUAAGCGGCAGAUUAUUGUGAAUUUUUGUAUUUUCUUCAUUUCCAUUUAGCUUUUUUUCAAUUUUAGAAUAGCCUUUCUCUAGAUAACUCGAGGAAGUGGGAGACAGAAUUUCCUUUGUUUCUGUCUUGAGCCCAAAGGGACAAUUGAGUGUCAGGUAUGACAGGGAUAAAGGG
rnacentral:lncRNA from 1 species